UACGAAGGGGGCUAGCGUUGCUCGGAAUCACUGGGCGUAAAGCGCACGUAGGCGGCUUUUUAAGUCAGGGGUGAAAUCCUGGAGCUCAACUCCAGAACUGCCUUUGAUACUGAAGAUCUUGAGUUCGGGAGAGGUGAGUGGAACUGCGAGUGUAGAGGUGAAAUUCGUAGAUAUUAGGAAGAACACCAGUGGCGAAGGCGGCUCACUGGCCCGGUACUGACGCUCAGGUGCGAAAGCGUGGGGAGCAAACAGG
rnacentral:rRNA from 1 species